CUUAUUGAUCCUGCCGGACCUGACUGCUAUCGUAUUGGUACUAAGCCAUGCGAGUCGUUGUAGCAAUACAAGGCGGACUGCUCAGUAACACGUAGUUAACUUAACCUAUGGAUGGGCAUAACCUCGGGAAACUGAGAAUAAUACCCAAUGGACCACAGUGCCUGGAAUGGCCUGUGGUUGAAAUGAUUUAUCGCCGUAGGAUAGGACUGCGGCCUAUCAGCUUGUUGGUGAGGUAAUGGCCCACCAAGGCUAUAACAGGUACGGGCUCUGAGAGGAGGGGCCCGGAGAUGGGUACUGAGACACGGACCCAGGCCCUAUGGGGCGCAGCAGGCGAGAAACCUUUGCAAUGUGCGAAAGCACGACAAGGUUAAUCCGAGUGUCUCCUGCUAAAGGAGUCUUUUGUCAGUUGUAGAAUCACUGGUGAAUAAGGGGUGGGCAAGUUCUGGUGUCAGCCGCCGCGGUAAAACCAGCACCUCGAGUGGUCAGGAGGUUUAUUGGGCCUAAAGCAUCCGUAGCCGGUUGCAUAAGUUUUCGGCUAAAUCUAUGCGCUUAACGUAUAGGCCGCCGAAAAUACUGUGCAGCUAGGGAGUGGAGAGGUA
rnacentral:rRNA from 1 species